GACGAACGCUGGCGGCGUGCUUAACACAUGCAAGUCGAACGGAAAGGCCCCCUUGUGGGGUACUCGAGUGGCGAACGGGUGAGUAACACGUGAGUAACCUACCCUUGACUUUGGGAUAACUUCAGGAAACUGGGGCUAAUACCGGAUAGGAGCUCCUGCUGCAUGGUGGGGGUUGGAAAGUUUCGGCGGUUGGGGAUGGGCUCGCGGCUUAUCAGCUUGUUGGUGGGGUAGUGGCUCACCAAGGCUUUGACGGGUAGCCGGCCUGAGAGGGUGACCGGCCACAUUGGGACUGAGAUACGGCCCAGACUCCUACGGGAGGCAGCAGUGGGGAAUAUUGCACAAUGGGCGGAAGCCUGAUGCAGCAACGCCGCGUGCGGGAUGACGGCCUUCGGGUUGUAAACCGCUUUCGCCUGUGACGAAGCGUGAGUGACGGUAAUGGGUAAAGAAGCACCGGCCAACUACGUG
rnacentral:rRNA from 1 species